rnacentral:misc_RNA from 1 species
CCUUGUUUCCUUUCAUUGAAUGAAUUUGUCUCUCCAUAUCUGCCUCAGUUGCUCCGUAUGCGUUUGCCUCCAAUCGUAGUUUCUAGGCCACCUGCCUCUUUAUUUCCUAACAAUGAUUCCUUCGUUAAUUCCAAAGCUCCUCAUUUCCUCCAUAAAUCCAUCACCACCUCGUCUCUCUUUCCUUUCAUAACAUAAAUCAAACCAAGCCAAACACACCACAAUCACGCUUUCUCGCUUCUCACUUCUCGCUACUCACUUUUCUCUCUGCUUCCAUUUUCCAUAACGAUGGCUCCGAUCAAAAUCAAGCAAUCGCCUAAUCCCACGGCUCAGACUCUAACCUCUACGGCGUCGUCACAGGAGGCACGUCUCCUCGUCCGUGAAACGCUGCGUAUUAGCGCUAACUUAGCUUCGGCUUCUUCUCCUGCAAUGUCUCAGCCUCCUUCUACUUCUCCUUCUUAUUCAAUUGUUUCUCCGGCGCAGUCUGUUUCUUUGAUUGGAUAAUAGUCGGAGAUUAGGGCUUGUGGAAGAGGAGUUUAUUGAUUCGAGCUUGAGAUUGAUCUGUUGCGAGGAAAUCGAUGGUCGGAAAUGGAAGUACGUGGCCGAAAACGACGGUUUUGGACGUUAUAAGAAGAAUUCGAUUCGUGCUGUCAGCUUGCAGACACCUCAAGCUCCUGUUGAGGAAAUAAUGUCAUUCAUAAGAACCUAUGUAGUGCCAGAAGGUUUUCCUGACAGUGUUACUCCAUCAUAUGUGCCAUACAUGACUUGGAGAGCUUUGAAGCAUUUCUUUGGUGGAGCAAUGGGUGUUUUCACAACAAAAACCCUUUUGAGUUCAGUUGGAGUCUCUAAAAGCAAAGCUAUUCCUGGUGCCGUUGCUAUCAAUUGGAUUCUCAAGGAUGGUGCUGGUCG